CAAGUAAUGAAGUUAAAUUAUCAUCAUUUUAUUAUUUCUAUCCGGAUACAUGUGUUCAUAUUAUUAGCAACAAGACUAUAGACAUGACCUAUAUGGAAACAUAUAAUUAAAGGUCAAAACUGGUCAUUUGUGCUUUAUGGUGUGAUUUAAUAAAUUACUUUAAAACAUCAUAUCAACAUUUUAAAUAAUAAUUAAAUUAUUAUUCUCGAUGACCAACAUUUACCCAGGCAGUAUCAUUUUGAAAUUGUAUUGGGAUUCUUACAAAUUAUCAAAAAAGUACAUUUUAAAUUUGUUUUCUUCCUUCAAUCAAAAAAUGAAAGAAAAAAAUCCAGGCAUCCUAUUCAUAAAUACUAUGUACAAAUUGUCUUACAAUAGGCAAACUUCAUAUAAAAAAAAAUGAUCUGACAGACACUAUUGUCAUUUGUAAUUAACUCAUUAUUAAUCAUUUAUUUAUAUUCUGAUGGUUUUUGCAAUUUUGAAAGUCAUUUGUAAGAGAGAAAAAAAGUGAUGCCAGAUUAUUAUCUUAUAUGCAAAGCCAAAAAAUCUACUUUUUGUUGCCCGGGUUUUAAAUUUGCUGAGUCCCAAAGCUGUUUUUUUUUAUAUGAAACGUUCUUAUAUUUCUAUUAUUUUUAAACACCAAAGAGACUUUUAAUUCAUUUGAUAAAUGUCAUUUUUUAUUCACUCAUUAUUUUUUUAUCAAGAUCGAUUUUACUUGUUGACUUUUAUCUUUGUAAAAUUAUUAUUUUAGAAUAAAAAUACUUGUAUGCGAAUAAUUAUGUAUUUUGUGUUAUUUAUAUAUACGUUCAGUUAUUAAGGAAUAGAGAAAUGUGGGAUAUAUAAAUAUGAGACAGAAUCCCAACAAAAAGACGUCACCAAGACCUGUAUAUGUCAACAUAAGUUUUUGACAAUAGAUAUAUGUGUCUUUACAGUUUGUCAAGCUCGAAAUCAAUCCCAGUCUGUGAUAAAAAUUAACACAAUCAAUUGAAAAUCUGUCAUAAAAAGAAUCUGUCAUCAACAC
rnacentral:lncRNA from 1 species